rnacentral:rRNA from 1 species
GACGAACCGAGCGAACGUUAUUCGGAAUCACUGGGCUUAAAGGGCGCGUAGGCGGCCUUGAAAGUCGGGGGUGAAAUCCCACGGCCUAACCGUGGAAGUGCCUCCGAUACUGCAAGGCUCGAGGGAGGUAGGGGCAGCUGGAACUUCCGGUGGAGCGGUGAAAUGCGUUGAUAUCGGAAGGAACGCCGGUGGCGAAAGCGAGCUGCUGGACCUCUGCUGACGCUGAGCGCGAAGCCAGGGGAGCAAACGGG